AUUGAACGCUGGCGGCAGGCCUAACACAUGCAAGUCGAGCGGUAGAGAGAAGCUUGCUUCUCUUGAGAGCGGCGGACGGGUGAGUAAUGCCUAGGAAUCUGCCUGGUAGUGGGGGAUAACGUUCGGAAACGGACGCUAAUACCGCAUACGUCCUACGGCAGAAAGCAGGGGACCUUCGGGCCUUGCGCUAUCAGAUGAGCCUAGGUCGGAUUAGCUAGUUGGUGGGGUAAUGGCUCACCAAGGCGACGAUCCGUAACUGGUCUGAGAGGAUGAUCAGUCACACUGGAACUGAGACACGGUCCAGACUCCUACGGGAGGCAGCAGUGGGGAAUAUUGGACAAUGGGCGAAAGCCUGAUCCAGCCAUGCCGCGUGUGUGAAGAAGGUCUUCGGAUUGUAAAGCACUUUAAGUUGGGAGGAAGGGCAGUAAAUUAAUACUUUGCUGUUUUGACGUUACCGACAGAAUAAGCACCGGCUAACUCUGUG
rnacentral:rRNA from 1 species